rnacentral:misc_RNA from 1 species
CUUGGCAGUCUGUCUCUGCUAACAAUUGCUUUUCUUUCCCAAGUAUAUUAUUAACAAUUAUGCUAUUUUAACAUUUUUCUCCGUAUAUCAUUAAGAUAGAUCAUUAUGAGAUAGAUUGUAUUGAUGAGAUAGAUCAUUGAAAAUAGGAAUGCCUAAACAAGAUUUAUUAAUAGAUCCAUCUAAUGAAAUCGAAUUCACGGGUCCUUUCGACGAAAUUUCGAUAUCUGAAUUAAUUCUCACCAACGUAACUAAGAAAAGAAUUUAUUUUAAAAUAAAGACUAAUCAACCCAAUAAAUACUCCAUUCGUCCUCCUAAAGGAACAAUAGCUCCCGAUGAAAUAAUUAUCGUCUUAAUUUCUCUUCUUCCGAAUAAGUAUGACCCCAAAGAGAAAGGAAGACAUAAAAUAAUGGUUCAGUACAUGGAUGCUCCACUUCACGAAGCUAGUCCAGUUGAAUCUUGGGAAAAUGUUGGUGUUAAUGAUAUUACGGAGAGAAAAUUGAAAUGCGUAUUUCACGACGAUGUCGACCAGAUUUCAUUCUCGGAUCUCUCUUUCGCUUCGACACUUCAUCAAUUGUCCUUUCACACUAAAUAAAUCUUCCCUCUGAGUCUUUUAAUAGACUCAAAAAUUAAUUUUGACUAAGGUCUCGAAAAUACCAGGGUCACCUUUGCUCGCUACCUUUGCUUCAACUACUGUUAACCCUCGAUCACAGGCAUCUAUAAUUACCAUCAGCUUUCCACAUUUAGAAGUAUCGUGUGGACAAACUUUAGAAACAAAAAUCGCCCCGUGUAGACCACCACAAAAUAAAGAGCACAAAUAUAAAGAUUUUAAUAAGAGUUACAAUGGAAGUAUAAUGACUCC